rnacentral:rRNA from 1 species
UGGGGAAUUUUGGACAAUGGGCGAAAGCCUGAUCCAGCAAUGCCGCGUGUGUGAAGAAGGCCUUCGGGUUGUAAAGCACUUUUGUCCGGAAAGAAAUCCUUGGCUCUAAUACAGUCGGGGGAUGACGGUACCGGAAGGAUAAGCACCGGCUAACUACGUGCCAGCAGCCGCGGUAAUACGUAGGGUGCAAGCGUUAAUCGGAAUUACUGGGCGUAAAGCGUGCGCAGGCGGUUUGCUAAGACCGAUGUGAAAUCCCCGGGCUCAACCUGGGAACUGCAUUGGUGACUGGCAGGCUAGAGUAUGGCAGAGGGGGGUAGAAUUCCACGUGUAGCAGUGAAAUGCGUAGAGAUGUGGAGGAAUACCGAUGGCGAAGGCAGCCCCCUGGGCCAAUACUGACGCUCAUGCACGAAAGCGUGGGGAGCAAACAGGAUUAGAUACCCUGGUAGUCCACGCCCUAAACGAUGUCAACUAGUUGUUGGGGAUUCAUUUCCUUAGUAACGUAGCUAACGCGUGAAGUUGACCGCCUGGGGAGUACGGUCGCAAGAUUAAAACUCAAAUGAAUUGACGGGGUCAUAGCUGUUUCCU